AGGGUUGAGGCCCAGAUCCAACACACUGCUUCAGAGCUGAGCCGGGCAGAUCGGCCUGGC
rnacentral:miRNA from 1 species